GAUGAACGCUAGCGGGAGGCCUAACACAUGCAAGCUGAGCGGUAUUGUUUCUUCGGAAAUGAGAGAGCGGCGUACGGGUGCGGAACACGUGUGCAACCUGCCUUUAUCAGGGGGAUAGCCUUUCGAAAGGAAGAUUAAUACUCCAUAAUAUAAUAGAUGGCAUCAUUUAUUAUUGAAAACUCCGGUGGAUAGAGAUGGGCACGCGCAAGAUUAGAUAGUUGGUGAGGUAACGGCUCACCAAGUCAAUGAUCUUUAGGGGGCCUGAGAGGGUGAUCCCCCACACUGGUACUGAGACACGGACCAGACUCCUACGGGAGGCAGCAGUGAGGAAUAUUGGACAAUGGGUUAGCGCCUGAUCCAGCCAUCCCGCGUGAAGGACGACGGCCCUAUGGGUUGUAAACUUCUUUUGUACAGGGAUAAACCUAUCUACGUGUAGAUAGCUGAAGGUACUGUACGAAUAAGCACCGGCUAACUCCGUGCCAGCCGCCGCCGUAAAAC
rnacentral:rRNA from 1 species